rnacentral:rRNA from 1 species
AGGGAAUAGAUACCCGGGUAGUCCACGCCGUAAACUAUGGAUGCUAGCUGUGAACCGUAUCGACCCGGUUCGUAGCGAAAGCUAAACGCGUUAAGCAUCCCGCCUGUGGAGUACGGCUGCAAGGCUAAAACAUAAAGGAAUUGACGGGGACCCGCACAAGCGGUGGAGCGUGUUGUUUAAAUUCGAUGGUAAGCGAAGAACCUUACCCAGGCUUGACAUCCCGAGAAGCACUGCGAAAGCAGAGUGUGCCGUAAGGAACUCGGAGACAGGUGUUGCAUGGCCGUCGUCAGCUCGUGUCGUGAGAUGUUUGGUUAAGUCCAUCAACGAGCGCAACCCUUAUAGUCAGUUGUAUUUUUCUGGCUAGACUGCCCC